rnacentral:rRNA from 1 species
UACAGAGGGGGCGAGCGUUGUUCGGAAUUACUGGGCGUAAAGGGCGCGUAGGCGGCCCUCUAAGUCGAACGUGAAAUCCCCGGGCUCAACCCGGGAACUGCGUCCGAUACUGGAGGGCUCGAAUCCGGGAGAGGGAUGUGGAAUUCCAGGUGUAGCGGUGAAAUGCGUAGAUAUCUGGAGGAACACCGGUGGCGAAGGCGGCAUCCUGGACCGGUAUUGACGCUGAGGUGCGAAAGCGUGGGGAGCAAACAGG